UUUAAGUAGGCUCCACCUCCAAUGUGGACCCCAGUGUGGGACUUAAACCCACCACCCUGAGAUCAAGACCUGAGCUGAAAUCAAGAGUUGAACACUUAACCAACUGAGCCACCCAGGCACCCACCAGUAGCUUUCUUACUUCCU